rnacentral:lncRNA from 1 species
CAUAUUUCAGAAUCACUGCUAAAUAAUUUGCAGUAAUUUGUGAAGCUCAAAAUCCUGGAAGCAGGAACUACCAAAUUUGGGUGUCCUGCAUUAUAUCUAUUCCGGCUUUCUGGGUUAUCCGCUGCGAUCAGGGGCACUUUUGCUGUUUCCAGUUGGAUUGGCUUGGGUAGUCUUCCUUCUUUUCUCCUUCACACCCACUCGUGAGCUGUAGAACAGUUGUCAUGUGGCAGGCUCAUGUGCUGCAUCUGGACACACAGUCAUGUUUGUAGACUGAGAUGGUGGAUAUCACAUGCAGAUACUAUGCAAUCAAAUCAAAUGCCAAAAUACUUUCCACCUACUUCCCCCGGCCACCACAGUCCUAACUUAUAACAUGAAAUAAUCUCUUUAACUCCAGAGUGUGAUCUUCCACAUCCUCACAUGACAUCUCAUUCCAUUUCUACUGUUCUCAGUCCUUGAAGUCAUUAUGUCCCUUUUUAGGUAAUGUUCGACACUUUUCACAGAUCAGGAAAAGUG